CAGCGCCACAAGUGGGGACCCGUAUUAUUGGGCCUAAAGCGUCCGUAGCCGGUUUAGUAAAUCUUAUGUGAAAUCGUAGGGCUUAACCUUACGGCGUGCAAAAGACACUACUAGACUUGAGACCGGGAGGAGUCAGAGGUAUUUCUUGGGUAGCGGUAAAAUGCAAUAAUCCAAGAAGGACCACCUGUGGCGAAGGCGUCUGACUAGAACGGAUCUGACGGUGAGGGACGAAAGCCAGGGGAGCGAACCGGAUUAGAUACCCGAGUAGUCC
rnacentral:rRNA from 1 species